GACGAACGCUGGCGGCGUGCUUAACACAUGCAAGUCGAACGGAAAGGCCCUUCGGGGUACUCGAGUGGCGAACGGGUGAGUAACACGUGGGUGAUCUGCCCUGCACUUUGGGAUAAGCCUGGGAAACUGGGUCUAAUACCGAUUAGGACCACGCGCUUCAUGGUGUGUGGUGGAAAGCUUUUGCGGUGUGGGAUGUGGCCCGCGGCCUAUCAGCUUGUUGGUGGGGUAAUGGCCUACCAAGGCGACGACGGGUAGCCGGCCUGAGAGGGUGACCGGCAACACUGGGACUGAGAUACGUCCCAGACUCCUACGGGGGGCAGCAGUGGGGAAUAUUGCACAAUGGGCGCAAGCCUGAUGCAGCGACGCCGCGUGAGGGAUGACGGCCUUCGGGUUGUAAACCUCUUUCGCCAGGGACGAAGCGCAAGUGACGGUACCUGGAGAAGAAGGACCGGCCAACUACGUGCCAGCAGCCGCCGUAA
rnacentral:rRNA from 1 species